UUUCAAACGGACGGUAUACGGACUCGUUAAUAUUUAUUUUGUUUGGUAUUACGUAGGCCGGUGUUCCUCGAAGGAUGCAAAUGUGGUGGGGACGGACGGGAUAUUUAAACGCGGUCGAGUGUCCCGGUUAACCGUCGCCGUUUUUUGUGUGGUAUAAAAACGGUGGCACCGUCUUAUUUUUCUCUCCGUUCAAUGCCUCUCCUCCUUCUCUGACUCGCGUCACUUCGAAUAUACUGAAAUUGUACACCGCGUGUAAAAUUUCUGUGUACAUUCGCGCGACAAAUAAGGCUUGGUUUCAUUUUUAUCACGAAUUUAAUUUAUGCCACUUUUUAUUGUAGAUUAAAGAAAAAGUGUUCGCGAUAUUCUUUUCAUACGAGUAAAUUAUCGUUGUGGAAAUGAUAGAAUCGGUGAAAUUGAUUGGAAGAAAUAUUUUCACAUUUUUAAAUAUAUAAAUUUAGAAUGAAUGAAUCAUUUUGAGCAAAGAAAAGAUGAAUAAUGAUCAUUACUUUCCAUUUUUCAAUGCUAUUCUUUUUCCAUUUAAAAUUUCUUCAAAAACUUUACCGUAUAUCCAAGUUUAUAACUAACGAAAUAAUUGUUUUCCACGUGAUCCAAUUCCAUUCAUUUUAACUAUUCGAUAAUUCAAUCUAUUCAUCAAUUUCAUAUUAUCAUUUAUCAGAUAAGAGAAAUCUUCCCAAAAGAAACCUUUUUCUUUUCCUUUCUGGAAAACAAAAUAGAAGAAAGGAAAAAGAAAAAAGAGAUUUUCAAUUUCACGUUUUGCGUGAGAGACAGAGGGAGAGAGAGUGGGGAUAGAAGCAAAUCCACGGAUUUCUAUUUCUAUUUCGUGGACAAACACGUGAACGCGCGAAAGUAAACUCGAGCGCGGCAAUGUACACAGCGAAUUAUCGCGGAUUCGAUCCCAGAAUUUCGAAUCAUGGCCGAUCGUGGCUCAAUUGGAACGAUUAAUUUCGCCCCUCGCCGUAUAAACAUAACAAAUGGCCGGUCGUUGAUAAAUUCGCGGCGAUAGCACGCGUUCCAUAUGGCUUGCCGCCAUCCUUUCCGUCCGACCAAUUGCCGGUAUCGAUCACUGCACGUGGGAGAGGCCGCGUCUGUCCGACCAGAAACGCUCGUUACUACUGUUUAUCGACUGGCUAAUCACUCGACUCUUACCAAGCGUGUUGUGCCAGAAUGCCCGUUGUGAAAAAGUAACUAGAACUAGGAGGAGCUAUUGAUAUUGAAACGCGUCUUCGACGCGGCAUUAUUAAACGGCGACCUGUUUCACAAUGGGAUUCGUAAUGGGUGUAUUAUUCAUCGGGACAACGGUCGUGCUUCCUUUCCAUUCGAACAAAGAACGUUGAAUUAAAAGUAGCGCUCGUUAUCGAGAUUAAUUAAACGCUUGUUAUUCGCCUCGUCGUGUGUGCGAUGUACGUUGUGCAUGGACGAGCGAUUAGACACACUGUGCGAAAAGGUAGGAGAAUUUUUUGAAGGAAGUUAAUUGCUGACAAAGGACGUCGAGUUGAAAAUAGCAGUCGUUUUUUGUAGAAACGAGAUUAAUUAGACGCUUGUCCCGUGAAUAUUUCGUAAUUCGCGAACGAGAUACGGUGAAAUAUUCCUUUCAGAAACGAGCAUGUUCGUCGUGAAAGUGAAAUUUUAGCUUGAAACUCGAUUAAAAUUAAAGGAAAAAUUUCAACCGCUGUAAUUUCGUAGAUAGCGAUUUCCGGUUGAUAAAUGAUAAAGGCGAUUAGAAGCGGGAAACCUUCCCCUUUAAAAUGCUUUCUCAUUCGUCUUGCUACGACUUCCGGUUCCCGAGAUAUCAUCGUGUAAAGAGAAAGUAAUUUUUAAUCGUUUACCUUACAUUUGAUUAAAUCCUAUCGAAAUUAGGAAAAAUUUGAAUCACUAUAAUUCCGAAGAUAACGACUUCCGGUUGAUAAGUGAAAGACCGUUAGAAGCGCUAAACCUUCCCCUUUAAAAUGCUUUUUCAUUCGUCUCGCUACGACUUCCGGUUCCCGAGAUAUCAUCGUGUAAAGAGAAAGUAAUUUUUAAUCGUUUACCUUACGUUUGAUUAAAUCCUAUCGAAAUUAGGAAAAAUUUGAAUCGCUGUAAUUCCGAAGAUAACGACUUCCGGUUGAUAAGUGAAAGACCGUUAGAAGCGGGAAACCUUCCCCUUUAAAAUGCUUUUUCAUUCGUCUCGCUACGACUUCCGGUUCCCGAGAUAUCAUCGUGUAAAGAGAAAGUAAUUUUUAAUCGUUUACCUUACAUUUGAUUAAAUCCUAUCGAAAUUAGGAAAAAUUUGAAUCGCUAUAAUUCCGGAGGAAAUGACUUUCGGUUGAUAAACGAGAGACCAUUAGAAGGGCUGAAUCUUCCUCUUUAUAAUGCUUUUUCACUCGUUAUGCUACGACUUCCGGUUCCCGAGAUAUCAUCGUGUAAAGAAAAGAUAAAUGGCAGACACGAUUCCAGGAGAAACGCAUGCAAUUCCAAAAAGAAAUAUCGACCAUUGGCGUAAUCUCGCGUGCAUAAUCCCUAGUACAAUUUUAAGCGCUAUGGACACUUUGAGCGCUUAUAUCUCGGCAACCGAUUGAGAUAUUGGGAUGAAUGAAAAAGUGAAUUCAAUAGUGUGAUUUUCCUUUUAAAUUCUCGGAUUUUGCGAAUUUUCGGUGUUGAUGGCCGUUUAAUUGAAACGUGCGGAAGCGGCGUUUAACCGUCGCCGCUCGAGCAUCGACUGAUUCAAGUUUUUUUCCCCCAUUUUUAUCGCGCGCUCCCGAAACUUUACAGUUUUUCAAGUUUUAUCGAUGUUGACCGGAUUAAAUUCAGAGAUGGCUAGAACUGGAGUCGAAGACGUGGAUUUUUCACGCGUGCCAACCUAUGAAUUUAAAAAAAAUGGGAUGAAUUAAAUUGGUGAGAAUUAUAUUGCGUUCCUAACCUCUUCAAAAAAAGAUAUGCAUUUAAUAUCCAAUCAAGUUCGAGAAAUGAGUGUGGAUGGAUACGAGUUUACACGAGGAUAAAUAUUUAAGGAAAAUUCAGAGAAUAGGAAGAGUGUAUUGUCUUGCCACUUGAUUAAUUAUUUUGGCUACGUUACACUCUGGAAUAUAAGUUGAGCAGAGUUUCUGGACAGAAAUUUUUUAAUCGAAAUCAAGUAUUAUGACGAGGAAAGUUGGAAAUAUUUUGUUGGAACAACGAGGAAUAGCCGAAUUUAUUCGAAGAACGAAAUGAAGGGAAAAGAAAUUCCAUUCCAUCCAGUGAUGUUGCGGCAAACAAAUCCUUCGGAUUUAGGCAUAUUUGAAAUUAUUUAGGUUAGUAGGUAAAUCCGUGCGGGGUCGAUAUCGUGUCAGUUUCUCUCUGAGAGUGCGACGAAGAUGGCAUCCAGUGAUUAGAAAUGACUUUGACGCGGAGGGACAGUGAUUAAUCGACGAAUCUGUGUAAUGGAGACAGUUUAUAUAUGGAUCACAGUAAUAAACUCAUAAAUAGCAACAAUUUUUUUCUUUAAUUCCAUCUUUAAUGUAAUUGAUAAAUUGUUUGUGGAUGGAGAGUUAAAAAAUAUAAAAAUUCUUGCUAUUUCUUCAACAUGAAUUAAUUAAUAAUCUAUUUAUAUUUUCAUUUGUGUCAAUUAGAUGGGAAAUGGAACAAUAUUGGAAUAUAUUUAGCGUAGAGAAUUUUAAUGGAUGGAUAAAAUAUGAUGAAGUGAAAAAAAAGAAAAAUAAUAAUCGUUCUGUACAUAGUUUGUAUAAGAUAGAUUAUAGAAUACAUUUCAAAAUUAUGAUUGUUAAAUUAAGAAUUAAAUUACGUGCGUUAUAUAUUAAAUUUAUUAUAGAUAUUGAAUAUAUUCCAAAAUUAUUAUCCAAUUAAAUUAUAAGAGUAUAUAUU